rnacentral:rRNA from 1 species
UACAGAUCGUAGAGUUUGAUCCUGGCUCAGAUUGAACGCUGGCGGCAUGCCUUACACAUGCAAGUCGAACGGCAGCACGGGAGCUUGCUCCUGGUGGCGAGUGGCGAACGGGUGAGUAAUAUAUCGGAACGUGCCCUAGAGUGGGGGAUAACUAGUCGAAAGAUUAGCUAAUACCGCAUACGAUCUAUGGAUGAAAGUGGGGGAUCGCAAGACCUCAUGCUCGUGGAGCGGCCGAUAUCUGAUUAGCUAGUUGGUGGGGUAAAAGCUCACCAAGGCGACGAUCAGUAGCUGGUCUGAGAGGACGACCAGCCACACUGGAACUGAGACACGGUCCAGACUCCUACGGGAGGCAGCAGUGGGGAAUUUUGGACAAUGGGCGCAAGCCUGAUCCAGCAAUGCCGCGUGAGUGAAGAAGGCCUUCGGGUUGUAAAGCUCUUUUGUCAGGGAAGAAACGGGUGAGGUUAAUAGCCUUUGCCUAAUGACGGUACCUGAAGAAUAAGCACCGGCUAACUACGUGCCAGCAGCCGCGGUA